CUCUUGAGGAGGUACUGUGAUGUAUCUGGCCAGCGAAUUAAUGCGGACAAAUCUUCAAUUUAUUUCAGCAAAGGGGUGGCUGAACCCAUGAGAGCCUCUGUCAAACAGAUUCUUCAAGUACAAAACGAGUCUUUGUCAGAGAAGUACUUAGGUCUCCCUUCGGAUGUGGGCAAUUCCAAAGAAGGUAGUUUUAAAUACCUUAAGGACAAAAUAUGGAAACAUGUUCAAGGUUGGAUGGAGAAAUGCCUUUCGGUGGGUGGGAAGGAGGUCCUUAUUAAAUCAGUGGUGCAAUCGAUCCCUACCUAUUCAAUGGCAUGCUUUAAGCUACCUCGAGGCUUAUGUGAACACUUAAAUGGCUUGAUCCAAAAAAAAUGGUGGGGAAGCAAGAAUGGAUAG
rnacentral:rRNA from 1 species